rnacentral:sRNA from 1 species
UUUCCGUAGGUGAACCUGCGGAAGGAUCAUUAUCAAAAGUCAAGUCGGGGGCUGUAAAGCUCUCGUCUACACCCAUGUCUUUUGCGUACUCUUGUUUCCUCGGUGGCGCAAGCUGCCGAUUGGACAAACCAAAACCUUUUUUGUAAUUGCAAUCAGCGUCUGAAAAUAAUCUAAUUAUUUACAACUUUCAACAACGGAUCUCUUGGUUCUGGCAUCGAUGAAGAACGCAGCGAAAUGCGAUAAGUAGUGUGAAUUGCAGAAUUCAGUGAAUCAUCGAAUCUUUGAACGCACAUUGCGCCCCUUGGUAUUCCAUGGGGCAUGCCUGUUCGAGCGUCAUUUGUACCCUCAAGCUUUGCUUGGUGUUGGGCGUCUUGUCGUAUUACGACUCGCCUUGAAUUCAUUGGCAGCCGGCACUUUGGCCUAGGAGCGCAGCACAUUUUGCGAUCGUAGCCCGUUGUACUGGCGUCCAUCAAGAACAUUUACCACGUUUGACCUCGGAUCAGGUAGGGAUACCCGCUGAACUUAA